UUGAACGCUGGCGGCAUGCUUUACACGUGCAAGUCGAGCGGCAGCGCGGGGGCAACCCUGGCGGCGAGCGGCGAACGGGUGAGUAAUAUAUCGGAACGUGCCCUGUCGUGGGGGAUAACACAGCGAAAGCUGUGCUAAUACCGCAUACGACCUGCGGGUGAAAGCGGGGGAUCGCAAGACCUCGCGCGAUUGGAGCGGCCGAUAUCGGAUUAGCUUGUUGGUGAGGUAAAGGCUCACCAAGGCGACGAUCCGUAGCUGGUCUGAGAGGACGACCAGCCACACUGGAACUGAGACACGGCCCAGACUCCUACGGGAGGCAGCAGUGGGGAAUUUUGGACAAUGGGCGCAAGCCUGAUCCAGCCAUGCCGCGUGAGUGAAGAAGGCCUUCGGGUUGUAAAGCUCUUUCGGCAGGAACGAAACG
rnacentral:rRNA from 1 species